AUGCCUAGCAUCACCUUCUCACACCAUGUGGUUUCUACAACUCAAGAUAUAGUGAAUAUGAUCAUGCAAGACCUUGAAAGUGUAUCCCAGUACACAGUGGAGGACGCAGACUCCUUCCCACUUGGAGAGAAAAAGCUGCGGUCCAAGCUCAAGCCCAGAGUUGUCUUUGACAACUCAUUUUUUGCUGCUCAAAUCAUGUACCACAGAGUAAAGGAUAGACUGACUGUCUUUUUGUCUUUUCCACCCUUGUCUGUCACCACAGCCAAAGAUGUGCUGAACUCCACCCCUGUGGAGACACUCAGAUGCUCGAAGUCCCCUGACACUGCUCUUGUUAAGGACAGGAGCCGCCCUCCGUCUGUGAGAAGUGAGAAGCCAUUUUCAAAAGUCAGUUUGACUAAAAGGUCUAAAGCCCUUGUGUCUUCGAGUGGCUCCUCCACAGACCACCAUGUAAUUGACACAUGCAGUGAGGAUGUCACUCUGCCCACCAGGAGUGUGUCAGUUAUGAGCGAUACCAGUUUGAAGAGAGCCUCUCAUCUCGAUGGUAGUGGAUUACACCAGCAAUGCCGCAAGUGACAUCACUCAUGGUGUUGUGGCUGACCUUAAUGCUACUGAGGAAUUCCCUGCCAGGGGCCUUAGCCCGGCUGAUGUAAAGGCUGACGGCAUGGCCCGCCUUCCCUCUGCCAGUGGGGAAGAGACUAAGAAGAACAGGAAGUGGCGCUUCCUACCCAAAAUUGGCAAGAUUCCAAAGAUCAGGAUGAAGGUAGGGGGCUCUGUGUUUUGAGAUUACCUCUGUAAGGCAGGUUCUGAAAUGUACCCUACAGAUUCACUAAACCCCUAUUGUCUCAGCAUUAGAACAAUGCUGUUGUCAUUGUCUUUAGGAGGUUGAGUGAGGCCGCUGUAAUACAAUCCUAAUACACAUGGGAGAGAGUCAAUGUCUGUGUACCCUAUUCCUUAUAUGGUGCACUACUUUUGACCAGAGCACUAUAGUGCCUUACGUAGCCAGUAGGGCGCAUUUUGGGAUAGAUACCAUAUAUUUUACACAGGCUCAGUUGUCCUGAUGUGUUUUGUCAACAGCUGUUCAAGACAAAAGGGGAACCGAAGAGCCACCCUGAACAGGAUGCGCUGCCUACCAAACGUCUCAGAGAGACUCGUAUUUCACAGAGUAAGUGAUAAGCAUCGAUAAUGUCAUGUUGAUGUAUCACCCUCUGGCCAGCUUGUUAAAACAGUGACUACAGAUACAGGAUGGACAGAAAGGCAGACAGACAGACAGACAAACACACACGUUCAUUUUCUGAUUAUGAAAUAUUCUUAUCACAGAUGCUGAGUGUGAGGUUCCAGAGGUUCCAUCCACUUCCCCACCCAAGGAGGACCUGACAAGCACACUGGCCCCUGCUCCCCAGGAGUCCCAGUCCCGUAAACGCCCUCUCAUAGUCAGGGUUGUUGCAUCCCCACACCUACCAGUAAAGCACCACAGGCUAGUAUGAGCGGUAGCUCCGGGUUGUAGUGAACUAACACCUGGCUACUAAGUAGAUGUGUCUUAGGCUUUUCUGGGACCAUUCCCAUUGUACAACUUCCUGCAGUAGAGCGCUCAUAGGCUUAACUAUGGCAGACAUAUUUGGAAUGAAUUUGCCAUAAUAGUUAAGUAAGGAAAGAAAAGACCUGAGCUCAGUGGUGUUUGUAGGAAUGGGAGCCUUCUCAAUAGCUUCAGUUUUCUGUUUCAUGGGGUGUAUCCCCUCUGCAUCUAUCACAUGACCUAGAUAGGCUGUUCUGGAAGAAAGAACAUUUCUCUCUUAACCUUCAGAUUGCAGACUUUGUCUUUUUAGGACUUCAAGAUUUCUCAUGUGCUCUUGUGUCACGCCCUGUGUUAAGUGUAUCAUCAAUAUAACAGAUUACCCCUUCUAUACCUUGUAGGAUCUGAUCCAUAAUUUUCAAAAAAAAAUAUCUGACACACAGGCAACACCAUAAGGAAGCCUGUUGACCUUAACAACCCCUUAUGUGUAUUCAUGGUGAGAUAGUGCUUAGACCGCUCCUCUAACUGUACUUGCUCGUAUGCCUGUGACAAAUCCAGCUUUGUGAACGUCUCAUCCCCGGCCAGCUUUGUGAACAAGUCCUGUGUUUUUGGUAAGGGAUUCUGAUCUACUUCCAUCCACGGAUUGAUAGUUACCUUGUAAUCUCCACAUAUUCUUACAGUAUUGUCUGUUUUCAGGAUACACACAAUUGGAGCAGCCCAUUCACUGUAGUUAACUGGAGUGAGGACCCUUUCUGACUCCAACGUAACUAGCUGUUUUUUAAUAUUUCUCUAAGUGCAUACGGCACUGGGCGAGGACUGCAGAACUUAUGUACAGCCCUAUUAGUUACAGGUAGCUUGGCUGUGAUACCUUUUAGCAUUCCUAGCUCUGGCUGAAACAGAGAAAUAUUUUUCACACAAACCAUCUACAGCUGUUACUGUG
ensembl:lncRNA serine/threonine-protein phosphatase 6 regulatory ankyrin repeat subunit B-like